GCUCGUGCUACGUAGCGAGUGAGUAUUACAGUAAUGCGAAAAUGGACCAUGUCCGACAUCGUGCAGCAGCGCCGCAAUCUCCACCGAUCGACGGCACCAUUCGGGCAGCUCUCGCUCGUAGUUGGAAUUGCGCUUGAGGGCCGCCAGUAGAUCCUCAGCUCAGCUAGCUCACCCAAUGC
rnacentral:sRNA from 1 species